AAUAAGAUUGGUGUUCUUCAAAAAUCUUUUCAGAUUUAUUAUUGUGAAACUGUUUUUAUCUAGAAAAUUAAAAUAGUUUAAUUUUUUAUUAAAUUAAUUUUUUAAUAAAAUAAAAAAAGGAAAAUUGAAAGCAGGAAUCACGAUGAACAGUCAUCGUGAACCCAGUUGGCCACGACGCGGCUCGCCGUCGCCACGUACAAUCGCCAUGUGAUGGUUGUCGGUGACGCCUAGUGAUGGUGCGACUAAGGAAGUGGUGGUCGCUGAGCAUGAGUUGGUCGUCUUCUUUGCCGUCGAAAACGAGGAAAAUGGGAUUCUCGAUUCUGUCAAUCGCGGACUGCUGCUGUCAGAGAAGGCUGGCUAGGGAGCGCAAGCGUUGCGCCGCCUUUGGCAUCUUGCACUGGCGACUUGAGCAGCCGACUAUUCUGCAGGUGGGACGUUGGGGGCUUCGAGGCCCAGAUGGGUCUCGACUCCUCGCGAUUUUUGUAAAUCGCGAGCUUGUCAGUGUUGUUUAAUCCCUCGACGAAUUGCUUGCAUGAUCU
rnacentral:lncRNA from 1 species